CCUACGGGAGGCAGCAGUGAGGAAUAUUGGUCAAUGGUCGGGAGACUGAACCAGCCAAGCCGCGUGAGGGAUGAAGGUACAGAGUAUCGUAAACCUCUUUUGUCAGGGAACAAAGGCGGGGACGCGUCCCCGGAUGAGUGUACCUGAAGAAAAAGCAUCGGCUAACUCCGUGCCAGCAGCCGCGGUAAUACGGAGGAUGCGAGCGUUAACCGGAUUUAUUGGGUUUAAAGGGUGCGCAGGCGGUUCGUUAAGUCAGCGGUGAAAGCCCGGGGGUCAACCCCGGCCCGGCGGUGGAACCUGGCAGUCUCGAGUUGGAGAGAAGUAUGCGGAAUGCGCGGUGUAGCGGUGAAAUGCAUAGAUAUCGCGCAGAACUCCGAUUGCGAAGGCAGCAUGCUGGCUCCACACUGACGCUGAGGCACGAAAGCGUGGGUAUCGAACAGGAUUAGAUACCCUUGUAGUC
rnacentral:rRNA from 1 species